GUCUGGGUCUCCCCUCCACCUCCCUGUCUAGCCUCCUCAGUCUGGGUCUCCCCUCCACCUCCAGGUCCACCCCCCUCAGUCUGGGUCUCCCCUCCACCUCCCGGUCUAGCCUCCUCAGUCUGGGUCUCCCCUCCACCUCCAGGUCCACCCCCCUCAGUCUGGGUCUCCCCUCCACCUCCCGGUCUAGCCUCCUCAGUCUGGGUCUCCCCUCCACCUCCCGGUCCACUUUCCUCAGUCUGGGUCCCCCCUCCACCUCCCAGUCAGCCAGAAAGUGAAUCUGAUGACUCAAACUCACUAAAACCAGUCCCCAUCAGGAGAGACCAUGGAGUCUCCCAGGUCACCCCCCUUAUUCCGUCAGCCAGAAGGUGACGGAAUAAACAACGUUUAUAGGUCAUAAAAGUCGAAAAAGCUAAAUAGACAACUGAUAUUACAGCGUGGUAACGCUGGGGUCGGUCAGAAUCGACACCACGAGGCGGUCCUGUUGGUGGGAGGGUUCGUGCGUUGUUUGAUUAACAAGUGGGGGCUUUAAAUAAAGGCAGCUCUCGGGGUCGUGCGGUGUUUGGGGCGCAAGAGUUGCAAACUAAGUUAACAAGGCGCCUUGUUCAAACUACAUGCGUCCGUCGACGGAUGGGGGCUUUUUGAGGCCUUGUUCACACUACAUGCGUCCGUCGACGGAUGGCCGAGGGUGUGUCUGACGUAUAGGGGACUAGUUUUUGCAGACACAUACUGCCAAUCAAAUCGCUUCCCACUACACAGCCGAUGUGUGGAUCUUAAAUACAUUGCACUUUCUAAAAAGCUUUUUUAACUUUGCCUUUAUUUUCUAUUUUAAUACUAAAGUGCCUGCUUUUUAACUUUCUAUUUUAAUCAUUUCUUUGCAUUAGGGGUACAUGUCAUGUCCGCGGGUUGUAUUUAUAAAUUGUAGAAAAUAUCUUUAUUUUUUAUUUCACUUAAAAAGGUCAACCAAUUCUAUAAAAAAAAAAUCAGACAACGCAUAUUCUAUACUAGAAGUUGCUGUUUUUGUGCUGUCCUAAUUGCUGAAUGUCAGGUGUUGCUUUAAGAAAAAAAAAUAAACAAUGUGUUUUUGAGAA